rnacentral:rRNA from 1 species
UACAGAGGGUGCAAGCGUUGUUCGGAAUUAUUGGGCGUAAAGCGCGUGUAGGCGGCUUUGCAAGUCGGGUGUGAAAGCCCUCAGCUUAACUUGAGGAAGUGCGCCCGAAACUGCUUAGCUUGAGUGCCGGAGAGGAUGGCGGAAUUCCCCAAGUAGAGGUGAAAAUUCGUAGAUAUCGGGAGGAACACCAGUGGCGAAGGCGACUACCUGGCCUGUUUCUUGACGCUGAGGCGCGAAAGCUAGGGAGCAACGGG